CUCUCUUCGGAGACAUCCGAUAAAAUUGAAACAAUAUAAAGAAGAUUAGUAUGGCCCCUGCGUAAGGAUGAUAUGCACAAAUCGAGAAAUGGUCCCUUAUCAU
rnacentral:snRNA from 1 species